rnacentral:tRNA from 1 species
GCCCCCAUCGUCUAUCGGCUAGGACACCACUCUUUCAAGGUGGAGAGGGGGGUUCGAUUCCCCCUGGGGGCA